AGUUGCAAUACAAUCAGCUAUCCAAUUACAUAGUCCAACUCAGCUUAUUUAGUUACAACUGUAUAACUAGUCUUUGACUCUAACAACUAACUCUACUUAACUCAAGUUACCAACUCCACAAAUCACAACACCACCCAGUUGUUAUGCAAGAAAUGUACUCCAAGAAUUAGUAAUGUGAAGCAAUAGGCCACAAAGGCCUUUACCUAAUGCAAGUCCACCAAAGCAUGUUCCUGGCUAGUAUUUCUAGUGUUUGUUCAUAUGAUCUAGUGAAUUACAAAAAAUAUAGAUGUUAUGAGCAAGGAGUAGAGCAGUUAGUGUGUUAGUCCAGUAGUUAAAUAGGAA
rnacentral:misc_RNA from 1 species